AAUGAGAUGGCCGAGAAAAAUUAGGCAUUAGAUUGUAAAUCUAAAAACGGGAACUUAUCUCUCUCAUUA
rnacentral:tRNA from 1 species